CGAGGUGUCGCUCAGUGGUAGAGCACUUGGCUACAAUGUGUGAGGCACUGAGUUCAAUUCUUAGCACCACAA
rnacentral:tRNA from 1 species